rnacentral:rRNA from 1 species
UCCCUUUUGAUCCUGGCUCAGAACGAACGCUGGCGGCGUGCCUGAGACAUGCAAGUCGUGGGAGAAAGUCGGGGCAACUCGGCGAGUAAACCGGCGCACGGGUGAGUAAUACGUGGAUAACCUACCCUGGAGACUGGGAUAACCCGUCGAAAGACGGACUAAUACCAGAUAAGACCACGGACAGUUCGCUGUCCGAGGUAAAAGGUGGCCUCUGCUCCUGCAAGCUACCACUCCGGGAGGGGUCCGCGGCCUAUCAGCUAGUUGGCGGGGUAAUGGCCCACCAAGGCAAAGACGGGUAGCUGGUCUGAGAGGAUGGUCAGCCACACUGGGACUGAGACACGGCCCAGAGUCCUACGGGAUGCAGCAGUCAGGAAUAUUGCGCAAUGGAGGAAACUCUGACGCAGCGACGCCGCGUGGGUGAUGAAGGCCUUCGGGUCGUAAAGCCCUGUCGGAGGGAAAGAAAAGCUCGCUGGCUAAUAUCCAGCGAGCCCUUGACGGUACCCUCAAAGGAAGCACCGGCUAACUCCGUGCCAGCAGCCGCGGUAAGACAGAGGGUGCAAGCGUUGUUCGGAUUGACUGGGCGUAAAGGGCGUGUAGGCGGUCGGCCAAGUCUGAUGUGAAAGCCCGAGGCUCAGCCUCGGAAGUGCGUCGGAAACUAGUCGGCUGGAGCGCGAUAGAAGAGGGUGGAAUUCCUGGUGUAGCGGUGAAAUGCGUAGAUAUCAGGAGGAACACCGGCGGCGAAAGCGGCCGUCUGGAUCGUUGCUGACGCUGAGACUCGUAAGCGUGGGGAGCAAACAAAGAUUAGAUACCCUGGUAGUCCUGGCCCUAAA